GAUGAACGCUGGCGGUAUGCUUAACACAUGCAAGUCGAACGGACACUUCGGACUUAGUGGCGGCGGGGUGCGUAACGCGUGAGAAUCCGGCUUUGGGUUCGGGACCACCACUGGAAACGGUGGCUAAUAGCGGCUGUGCCGAGAGGCAAUCGAGAAAUUGCCUCGAGAUGCGGUCGCGUCUCAGUCGCUAGUUGGUGAGGUAAAGGCUCACCAUGGCAGCGAUCAGUAGCUGGUCUGAGAGGAUAACCAGCCACAAUGCGACUGGGACACGGCCGAGACGCCUACGGGAGGCAGGGGGGAAGAAUGAUCCACAAAGGGCGAGAGCCUGACGAAGCACUACGGCGUGAGAAAAGAAGGCUCUUGGGAUGAAAACCUCUUGGCUUAGAGAAGAACAAAAUGACGGUACCGAAAGAAUCAGCAUCGGCUAACUCCGUG
rnacentral:rRNA from 1 species